CCCCUGCUCCUUCCGUGAUCUAGAGGAGAUGAAGAAAGAAAAAUAAAAAAUUACACUCAUCAAAAGACAAUGAAGUCACAAGUUUCCAAGCUGUGAGCUACUGGACCAAGAAGCCAGUCUCACCUAUGUCUGAAUCACUACAGCAUUCCACUCUAAAGGACUCUGAAGGACUUUAAAGUAAUAACAUCCAACAUUCACACGUUUUUCAGUCGCUUCAGUUGAGACUAGAAAAUACAGCUUAUGUGAGGAAAGCUCCAAUUCAAAAUAAGCCCCAGACCCAGGAGAAAGAAGAGGGACUCAAUUUCCUGUUAAUUUCUUCACUUCCUCUACUCAGUUAAAGCUAGAGGCUUCAAAUUCACCAGUAAAGGAUGUACCAGAAAUAAUACAGGGUAUAGCUUGUAAGAGCUGUUUUUUAGAAAGUCACUGAACUUUCACUAUAGUCUGCCUAUUGAUAUUAAAUCCUCCUCUCUCCCAGGGUUAUUAUGUGAAAAGCACUUUGUGAAUAUUAAAUUGUUAAAUAAAACAUGAGUUAUCAUCA